UAUUUUAAUAACACAAAGGUUUUUUUUGAUAAAUCAUUUCAACUUGAAUGGCAUAUUAGGUAUGUAAAUCGUACAGUUCUGUAUACUCUCAUGUUAUCAAAAAUAUAAAGGAAUAAAAUUGUAUCUUCAUUGAAAACAAUCAGUAUUAAAAUACACACUUUUUCAGUACAAAAGAUAUAGCAAUUAAUUAAGCUUGUACUGAAGUUAAGUGUGAUUCUUGACUAUUAGUAAGCAUAAUAAUAACCCUGGAUCUUUUCUCCCCUAAUCUGAAAAUUACUCAAAAACUAGCUGCUUUACUCAUUUUCAAAUUAUAGGACUAGAUAAUUUCCAUAGUAUCAUUUACUGAUAAAAUUAUAUCUUUAAGAAGUAUUAAUGAUUAUGUUAACACAAGGUAGAUAGCCUUAUUGUAUGAAUUUAUGCAUUCAUCUUUUAUGUAUUUUUAAUUAACAUUUAUUAAAAUUUUUUAAAUGUAAUACAUGGUAAAAAAUUCAAAUGGUACAAACAGGUAUUAAAUGAAAAAUAAGUCUCUCUAUUCUAUCUCUGAUGCGUGGUAACUCAAUUGCCUUUUCUAUCAGUUACUGCUCUUACUGAUUUCUUCUUUUGGAUCAAUUCUUUAUAGUGGAAUUCUUAGGUCAACAGGUAUAUUCAUUUUAAUUUUCAUAGAAAUUGCCAUGAUAUCUUCUCCAGUGGUUCCCAGACAUGUGUGAGAAAGUCUACCUCCCCACAUCUAGUCAGACAGUAUCUCUCCUUUGAUCAACUUUUUGAUUUUGGUCAUUCUGACAGGUGAAAAGUUAUAUGUCACUCCAGUUUUAAUUUGCAGUAAAGGUGAGUAUCUUUUUGCAUACUUAAAAAGUCGCUUGUAUUUCUUUUUUUUCCUGUGAAGUAAGAUUUUUAUAUAAUUUCUACAUUCAUUUAUAAUAUUCUCAGAAAUUAAACAGACAUAAAACAGGCCAAAAGAAGAAUCUGUAGCAAUUUGAGAAGUGAUUCAUUAUUUUUUAUAAUAUAGAAUAAUCAUUUUUGAUCUCCUUCCUCUUGGGGUUGGGUACUGAUAACAUAUAGGUGAAAAGAUAGAGCCACAAUCCCAAGAGGAUCACAUGUAAGUUAGAGAGGAGAUGUUCACAUGAAUGAAGAAUUCCAGUACAAGAGAUGGAUGCUAUAAACUGAAGAACAAAGGGCAUGGAGGUGUAGAAGAAGGAACAAGUGAGUUGAGAGAGAAAAACUCAGAGACAUGAAUUGAGUCUUCCAUUCUCAUAUUAAUUUGCUCAGGCUGCCAUAACAAAAUGCUAUAAAUUGGGUAACUUAAACAACAGAAAUUUAUUUUCUCAGUCCUAGGGGAUUGAAAUCCAAGAUCAAAGUAUUGGCAGGUUUGGUUUCUCCUGUGGUCUCUCCCCUUGGCUUGUGGAUGGCUACCUUCUCACUGAGUCCUCACAAGCCUUUGGACUAAACUGAAAACAAAUAUUACGUACCCUGAAUCGGUGCUGAAACCACAAAGGAGAGCAUCUUUGGAUCCCUCCAAGUAAUAAAAAUAUUCUGUUCAGAAAGAAAUUGAACAAUAUAACAUUAUGGAGUGUAAGCUUUAAGAGUGACACAGCAGUAAGAAGAGGUAUAUAUUUUGAUGGAAACGAAAGUUGAAAAGAAUUUCGAAGAAUGUAGUGAAAAAUAAGGGACACUGCAUGUGCACAUUCAAAAGCAGGAUAGAGUGACUCAUGAAAGAAUGAAUCAUGACUCAACAUUCCACU